CCAACGGCCCUCUUUAGGGCCACAAAUGAUCUUAAAUAUCCUACU
rfam:Caenorhabditis remanei strain PB4641 contig5.21, whole genome shotgun sequence.